rnacentral:rRNA from 1 species
GAAACCGGGUGAUCUAGCCAUGAGCAGGUUGAAGUUGAGGUGAAACUCAAUGGAGGACCGAACCGACUACCGUUGAAAAGUUAGCGGAUGACUUGUGGCUAGGGGAGAAAUUCCAAUCGAACCCGGAGAUAGCUGGUUCUCCCCGAAAUAGCUUUAGGGCUAGCGUCGGAAAGAACCUUAGUGAAGGUAGAGCACUGAAUGUGUGAUGGCCCCAUCCCGGGGUACUGAAUACAAUCAAACUGCGAAUGUCAUUAAGGAUGUCCGGCAGUCAGACUGUGAGUGAUAAGGUCCAUGGUCAAGAGGGAAACAGCCCAGACCGCCAGUUAAGGUCCCAAAAUACAGGCUAAGUGGAAAAGGAUGUGGGGAUGCCCAGACAACUAGGAGGUUGGCUCAGAAGCAGCCAUCCUUUAAAGAGUGCGUAACAGCUCACUAGUCGAGUGACCCUGCGCCGAAAAUGUACCGGGGCUAAGCCUGAUACCGAAACUGCGGAUUGUAGGAAACUAUAGUGGUAGGGGAGCGUUGUAUACGAGUAGAAGCCGUACCGUGAGGAGCGGUGGAUUGUAUAGAAGUGAGAAUGCCGGUGUGAGUAGCGAGAUGUAGGUGAGAAUCCUACACACCGAAAGCCCAAGGAUUCCAGGGGAAGGUUCGUCCGCCCUGGGUAAGUCGGGACCUAACGCGAGGCCGAAAGGCGUAGUGGAUGGAAAGCAGGCGAAAGAUUCCUGCACCCGUAUAUGGAGCGAAGGAGUGACGGAGACGGAUAGUGUGACCCUCUUAAUGGAUUGAGGGCGAAGCGAAGCGGCUGGUUACCAGGCAAAUCCGGUAACCAUAAGGCUAGAGCGUGAUAGGUAAGCGAAAUCUUAGGAAAGUAGCGAAGCACAUGAUGACGGCUUCCAGGAAAAGCUUCUGGCAAUGCAUAUGCGGCCCGUACCAAAACCGACACAGGUGGGCAGGGAGAGAAUCCCGAGGUGAGCGAGAGAACUGUUGCCAAGGAACUCGGCAAAAUGACUCCGUAAGUUAGCGAGAAGGAGUGCUUAAGCAAUUAAGCCGCAGUGAAGAGGCCCAAGCGACUGUUUAACUAAAACACAGCUCUCUGCGAAGUCGCAAGACGAAGUAUAGGGGGUGACACCUGCCCGGUGCUGGAAGGUUAAGAGGAUCUGUUAAGAGCGAUCUGAAGCAGUGAUCCGAAGCCCCAGUGAACGGCGGCCGUAACUAUAACGGUCCUAAGGUAGCGAAAUUCCUUGUCAGGUAAGUUCUGACCCGCACGAAAGGUGUAACGAUUUGGGCGCUGUCUCGGCAGCAGACUCGGUGAAAUCUUAGUACCUGUGAAAAUGCAGGUUACCCGCAACUAGACGGAAAGACCCCAUGGAGCUUUACUGCAGCCUGAUAUUGAAUUCUGGUCAUACAUGUACAGGAUAGGUGGGAGACAAAGAGACGUGCACGCCAGUGUACGAGGAGUCGACGUUGGGAUACCACUCUUGUGUGACCGGGGUUCUAACCUGGUAUCGAGAACAGGUACGGGGAGAGUGUCAGGUGGGCAGUUUGACUGGGGCGGUCGCCUCCCAAAGAGUAACGGAGGCGCCCAAAGGUACGCUCAGAUUGGAUGGAAACCAAUCGUCGAGUGCAAUUGCAGAAGCGUGCUUGACUGUGAGACUUACAAGUCGAACAGGGACGAAAGUCGGGAAUAGUGAUCCGGCGGUGCCGAAUGGAAGGGCCGUCGCUCAACGGAUAAAAGCUACCCUGGGGAUAACAGGCUGAUCUCGCCCAAGAGUUCACAUCGACGGCGAGGUUUGGCACCUCGAUGUCGGCUCAUCGCAUCCUGGAGCUGGAUUCGGUUCCAAGGGUUGGGCUGUCCGCCCAUUAAAGCGGUACGCGAGCUGGGUUCAGAACGUCGUGAGACAGUUCGGUCCCUAUCUGUUGUGGGCGAAGGAGAUCUGCGGAGAGCUGUCCUCAGUACGAGAGGACCGGGAUGGACCUACCGCUGGUGCACCGGUUGUUCCGCCAGGGGCAUAGCCGGGUAGCUAAGUAGGGAAAGGAUAAGCGCUGAAAGCAUCUAAG